rnacentral:misc_RNA from 1 species
UCUCCGUAGGUGAACCUGCGGAGGGAUCAUUACAGAGUUCAUGCCCUACCGGGUAGAUCUCCCACCCUAUGUUAUUAUUACUUUGUUGCUUUGGCGGGCCGUUAGGCUCCGGCCCGACUACCGGCCCCGGCUGGUAAGCGCCCGCCAGAGGACCCAAAACCCUGAAUAUUAGUGUCGUCAGAGUACUAUAUAAUAGUUAAAACCUUCAACAACGGAUCUCUUGGUUCUG